UGCUUCUCCAGUGUAUUUUGGGACUUC
rnacentral:piRNA from 1 species